CUGGCUAGGGAGCCAGAGAACCCAAAGAAGAGGGAGAGGGGACUUCCCUGGUGGCUCAGUGGUAAAGAUGCCUGCCAAUGCAGGAGACACAGGUUGGAUUCCUGUUCUGGAAAGACUGCACACGCUGCAGGGCAGAUGAUUUCAUAUGUGGCAAAGAUUGAGAACCACUGUGUGAAGAUUAUAGAGUCUACUGUGAAAUAAAAUUCGUAUUUUGUGGCCAGGCAUCAACCACACCUCCCUCACCGGCAGAAAUACCUCCUCGACCGUGAAGAGCAGCAUUCUCCCACCACCAAGACAGCUCCUUGAAGGAUAACAUUCUUUUAUGGAGUGAGUGGGAUUCAGUCACCACUGUCCACCAG